GUAACUAUAGUGCCAGGAAAACUACUUUGUUUUUCUAGCACUAUAGUUUCCCCUUUAAGUAAACUCUAAUUCCACAUAUCCUGACACGACACACAAAGACAUAGAUAUAUAAUUACACCAGGGAUCACAGUGCAUAUACACACAAAAGCAUACAUUCACGUUCCAUGCACAUACAAUCAAAUAAACGGUACAUCUACACCAGCACAUAUAUUGAUCUGCAG